rnacentral:rRNA from 1 species
AACGAACGCUGGCGGCAUGCCUAACACAUGCAAGUCGAACGAGACCUUCGGGUGUAGUGGCGCACGGGUGCGUAACGCGUGGGAACCUGCCCUUAGGUUCGGAAUAACUCCCCGAAAGGGGUGCUAAUACCGGAUAAUGUCCUCGGACCAAAGAUUUAUCGCCUUUGGAUGGGCCCGCGUUGGAUUAGCUAGUUGGUAGGGUAAAAGCCUACCAAGGCGACGAUCCAUAGCUGGUCUGAGAGGAUGAUCAGCCACACUGGGACUGAGACACGGCCCAGACUCCUAGGGGAGGCAGCAGUGGGGGAUAUUGGACAAUGGGCGAAAGCCUGAUCCAGCAAUGCCGGGUGAGUGAUGAAGGCCUUAGGGUUGUAAAGCUCUUUUACCCGGGAUGAUAAUGACAGUACCGGGAGAAUAAGCUCCGGCUAACUCCGUG